rnacentral:rRNA from 1 species
GUGAGGAAUAUUGGACAAUGGGCGCAAGCCUGAUCCAGCCAUGCCGCGUGCAGGAAGACGCAUCUAUGGUGUGUAAACUGCUUUUGUACGGGAAGAAACACUCCCUCGUGAGGGAGCUUGACGGUACCGUAAGAAUAAGGAUCGGCUAACUCCGUGCCAGCAGCCGCGGUAAUACGGAGGAUCCAAGCGUUAUCCGGAAUCAUUGGGUUUAAAGGGUCCGUAGGCGGUUUAAUAAGUCAGUGGUGAAAGACCAUCGCUCAACGAUGGAACGGCCAUUGAUACUGUUAGACUUGAAUUACAAGGAAGUAACUAGAAUAUGUAGUGUAGCGGUGAAAUGCUUAGAUAUUACAUGGAAUACCAAUUGCGAAGGCAGGUUACUACUUGUGGAUUGACGCUGAUGGACGAAAGCGUGGGGAGCGAACAGGAUUAGAUACCCCAGUAGUCC